rnacentral:rRNA from 1 species
UACACGCAUGACACACUGCAUAUCAAUAAGCGGAGGAAAAGAAACUAACUAAGGAUUCCCUCAGUAACGGCGAGUGAAGCGGGAAGAGCUCAAAUUUGAAAUCUUCAAGGUUUUACCUUGACGAAUUGUAGUUUAUAGAAGUGUUUUCUGUUAGUAGAGUUUGGUAAAAGUUCUUUGGAAUAGGACAUCAUAGAGGGUGAGAAUCCCGUAUUUGACCGUUACUUUCCAGCUGUGUGAUACACUUUCAAAGAGUCGGAUUGUUUGGGAAUGCAGUCCAAAAUGGGUGGUAAAUUUCAUCUAAAGCUAAAUAUUGGCGAGAGACCGAUAGCGAACAAGUACCGUGAGGGAAAGAUGAAAAGAACUUUGAAAAGAGAGUUAAACAGUACGUGAAAUUGUCAAAAGGGAAGCGUUUGACACCAGUGUUGUUUAGUUCGAAAAUCAAUUCAAGAAUGUUUUGAUUUUAAGUAGUAUUGACUUCAUCAGCUUGCUGCUUUCUUUUCCGAAAUUAUUGAAUGCACUUUUCAGUUAACAAGUCAACAUCAAUUUCUUUUGUUGUAAAAGGGUAUGAGGAAGGUGGCUUUCUUUUCGGAGAAAGUGUUUAUAGCCUUGUACCUCUGCAAUCGGAGAGAUUGAGGUCUGCAGCGUAGAUCCUUCGGGGUUAGAUACAUUUGUGCUAAGUUAUAGCUUUUCAUAGACAACUUGUUGACUAUGUUUAGUCUUGUAGCUUACUCGCUUAUGCUAUUUUACCUACGCUUAGGAUGUUGACUGAUAUGUAGUCGUA